GGAACUCUUGGUCAACCUCAGGCUCAGAGAUUUCACAAGUGAAGGGUCCUCAGUAGGAGCUCUUCCCCUCGCCUUUGAGCUCAGCACUUCUGCUCCCUCUACUUCCCCUAUUUCCCCCAUAAGGACUCUCUUUCUCUGUUCCCUUAGUUCUUCUUUCUUCUCAGAGAAUCAGAAGCAGUAAGAGAAGAGUCAGCGUACUGCCCCUUGUACUGCCUCCCCAGGUUCCAGACUGAGGAGGCAUGAGGUGAGGUGUCCUUACCCCCUAAAUGCCUGAAGAGGUCCAGAAUGGCCAGAGAAGCCCCACUGCUGCUGUUCCUGAUGUCACUGGGAAUCUCAGGCUCCCAGGAAACAAGAAGUUUGGAUGAGAACUACUUAAGAAAAGAAGGGCAGAUGUUGAAUGUAAGCUGCUCGUAUCCUCUCAAGGACCAUGAGAAGUCUUGGAAAGUUUGGUGUAAACUACAAGAGAAUAGAAAGGAUUGUAACAAAUUAGUGGUCAUAACAAAAUUCUGGGUUUUCACCAAAGAAGGUAAAUUCUCCCUUCAAUUAAUUGAUGAGUCUAAGUCUGGCCACAUCAUCAUCAUAAUGUCAGGACUCAGGGAAAAGGACUCAGGACAUUACUGGUGCAUGACCAUCAAGAAAAACAAUGCCAUUAUCCUCAAGAGAAUCCACCUGGUAGUGUCUCCAGCCCAGAACACCACCAAAGAGAUUUGGACUACUUCAGGAGUCCCUUCCAACACUCCAGCCACCUGCAGUCUUAUUGAGCACCUCUCUUCUCCAUGCGAAGAAAAGAGAGCCAGGAAGCCCAAGUUUCUUAGAAAAGGAGAAAUUCCUCAUUUUGGGUGUGGUCCUGACCUUCCUGCUCCUAUUAGGGGUCCUUAUUACAGGAACUGUGUACAUCAAGAAACUCCACCAGAAAGUCAAGAAAGGUGAUGAUUUCCAUCAAAUGAGCAAUGACUUUGAGAACAAGAGGCAAAAAUCUAGGGGCAUCACCAAGGAGAUGGACUAUGAAGAAGGUCCUGGGGACAUCCAUUAUGCCUCAGUGACCUACAUUGGCCCCAGAGAACCGAUGUGCACAAACACACAGAAGGCAUCCAGCUCGAAGACUAUGCAAAUGCCCUUUGAGUCUGUGGAAUAUGCCAGCAUCACAAGGGCUGAACAUCAGCAUCCCAAAUCAACAGCCAUAUAUGAGUCAAUGGGCAAGGAGAGUUAGUCAUCUGUAGGUGCUUAAUAAAUACAUGUUGAUUGCUAAUAUAGAAAUAUGU
rnacentral:lncRNA from 1 species